GUAUUUUGUAAAGUUGUUCUAGUUUUGUAACUAAAAUGGUUUGGCAGUGAGCGAUUCUUAUUAGGGGAAUAUGCAUAGUGAAGGAUGGUCCACCUAUUAGUUUACUCUUUUUAUGUUGGUGUAUGUCUGGUUUGAUAUUAUUGUUGAAUAAUUUAAGUUUGUGUAGUUUUAGUUAAGCUAAGUCUAUGUGCUGCUUAUUGGAGUUUUUGUGUGUUACAUUAAUAAGGGUGUUAUUGUAAGAUGAUGUGAUUUA
rnacentral:rRNA from 1 species